rnacentral:lncRNA from 1 species
GUUUAUUGAUAGAUAGGUUGCAGAAUAGAUGAUGAUCUGUAUGAUCUAUGUCAUUGCCUAUUGAAAAUUGUUGAAGUUCUAAUGUUAGCUUUCUUUUUUUGAUAUCCAGGUAUCCACCUUACAGUGAAUAAAUCAUGGAGUUUAUACCUUGGCCCCUCAAGCUGCAGAUAGGUUAAAUUGCAGGUUGUGCCCCAAACUGACCAGUGCUCAAGAGCCCCCCCAAUUGAUCUGUCAAAGUGUCAAGCAAGUCGUUUCCCAUCUUUGCACCUUGCCUUCCAGUAGAACUCCUGCCUUCCAGGAUAAAUCCUGCCUUCCAGGAGAAUAUCUGCCUUCCAAGAGCCUUUCAGGAAUCGAACUCACGAUCUCUGAUCUGCCAACCUUGAAGCGUCCUCAUCUUUGCCAGUUGGAAUGUGCCCUGGGGGGGCUCUAAUGUCAGCUUUCUUCUUCGGAUGGAGGGGGGCCUAAGUAACAGAGCACCAUUCAGCUAAGGUAACAUAAUAUUGAGCCAGAUCUGUAUCUACAAAGAAAAAAGUACAAGAUCCACUAAAUGUUGUGUGUGAGAUAGAGUUACAUUAGAGAAGGUGAGAAAUUUCCAUUCAUUAGAGUUGAUGUGGGGAUAGAAGUGUUGUCAUCAGGUUGUACGUUGGUUUCCAUAGCUUUACUAGAUGGAGGAAGAUGAACCAGAAAAGUAAAGAAUUAUUCUCUUGUAGUCGUUCUGAAC